UUUUUAAAUAUCCCACAGUGGGGAUUGAUUUGUUUGGCAUGUAAUCGGCUAGGUCGAUUUGAUCGAUGCUUCGAUCGGUCAUAUGAUUGCUUGGGUGCCUAUUAUGAAUUGUACUGACUUGCAGGUGAGAUCUGAGGCCAAGGUAAGUCCUCUGCCCUGUGCGUGUUUAGGCAGCCUUUAGUAUAAUAGUUUUCUAAUCGGGCUUAGUGGGGUAGAACUCGCUGAGACGUAGUCUCAUCCCAGUUUGGGGAAAACCAUUUCAGGACCCCGCUGAAGAGCUGAGGAGGAGGAAUCCGAGAAGGAGAACUCGGAGGUGAGAUCUGAAGAAAAGGAUUUUGGAAGAAGAAGACAAUUCUGAGAGAGGCCUUGAGUACGGCCUAGUUUGUCUAAGUUUCUGUCUUCUUUUGAGAUCUCCAUUUUGAUGUGAAUAGUUUCGAAGUGGUUUGUGUUUUGUAUAAAAGUGUGGUUAUAAAUUUCAAUAUGAAAAAUAUGGCCCUGCUUUUCUAUCCCAUCGUUUUAUUGUCUGGGGAUUUUAAUUACUUCCGCAUGUGCUUAAGAAGAAAAGAAAGGGUCGGCGAUACAUUGUCCUGGGAUAUCGCAUUAUAAAAUCGACCAAGGUAGAAGGAUGUGUGCGUGCCCGAGGAUCGGGGCGUGACAGCAACGAUCCAUAUAUCAGCUUGUGCGAGCUACCAUCUAUAUCAGCUUAUGCGAGCUACCAUCUAUAUCAGCUUGUGAGAGCAUUGCAUCCAUUUCAGCUUGUGCGAGCCGUAAUUGUAUUGAUGGAUGAAUAGACGGUAUGGUUUAAUAGAUGAUAUGAAUUGAUAGAUGUGUGGAUCGUAUGAUAUCAAUUGGAUUGACUGAAUUGAUAGACCGCUGGGUAUGUCGGUAGUUUCAGCUUGUGCGAGUAUUGUUCAAUAUGAAUUGUACUGACGUGCAGGAAAGGGAUUGAGGCGAGGUAAGCCCUCUAUCCUAUUUGUGUGGCUAGAGCGCCCUGAGGCGUAUUUUCUUUCUAAUUGAGUUUUAGAGGGUAGGACUCGCUGAGACGUAGUCUCAUCCCGGUUGUGGGAUAAUAUUUCAGGUCCCUAGAUGACAGUCGUGGAGGACCGGAAGUCCUGGAGUUCGGAAGGUGGAGGCUGAAGAAUCGGC
rnacentral:lncRNA from 1 species